GAUGAACGCUGGCGGCGUGCCUAAUACAUGCAAGUCGAGCGAACAGACGAGGAGCUUGCUCCUCUGACGUUAGCGGCGGACGGGUGAGUAACACGUGGAUAACCUACCUAUAAGACUGGGAUAACUUCGGGAAACCGGAGCUAAUACCGGAUAAUAUAUUGAACCGCAUGGUUCAAUAGUGAAAGACGGUUUUGCUGUCACUUAUAGAUGGAUCCGCGCCGCAUUAGCUAGUUGGUAAGGUAACGGCUUACCAAGGCGACGAUGCGUAGCCGACCGGAAAGGGUGAUCGCCCACACUGGAACUGAGACACGGUCCAGACUCCUACGGGAGGCAGCAGUAGGGAAUCUUCCGCAAUGGGCGAAAGCCUUACGGAGCAACGCCGCGUGAGUGAUGAAGGUGUUCGGAUCGUAAAACUCUGUUAUUAGGGAAGAACAAAUGUGUAAGUAACUAUGCACAUCUUGACGGUACCUGAUCAGAAAGCCACGGCUAACUACGUG
rnacentral:rRNA from 1 species